rnacentral:rRNA from 1 species
CACGUAGGGUGCAAGCGUUGUCCGGAAUCAUUGGGCGUAAAGAGCUCGUAGGCGGCUUAGUAAGUCGGGUGUGAAAACUCUAGGCCCAACCUAGAGACGCCACCCGAUACUGCUAUAGCUAGAAUCCAGUAGGGGAGUGUGGAAUUCCCAGUGUAGCGGUGAAAUGCGCAGAUAUUGGGAGGAACACCAGCGGCGAAGGCGGCACUCUGGGCUGGUAUUGACGCUGAGGAGCGAAAGCGUGGGUAGCGAACAGG